UCCCAUGUGGUCUAGUGGUUAGGAUUCGUUGUUUUCACCCACGCGGCCCGGGUUCGAUUCCCGGCAUGGAUA
rfam:Caenorhabditis brenneri strain PB2801 C_brenneri-6.0.1_Cont251.8, whole genome shotgun sequence.